GGAUAGGUAGGUUAAGUAUUCUUCAUGGUAUCAGAGCUGGGAUGAACCCUACUCUGAUACUGUGAAGAAUACUGAACCUGCAUGUCC